rnacentral:rRNA from 1 species
AUUGAACGCUGGCGGCAGGCCUAACACAUGCAAGUCGAGCGGCAGCACGGGAAGCUUGCUUCCUGGUGGCGAGCGGCGGACGGGUGAGUAAUGCAUAGAAAUCUGCCCGGUAGUGGGGGAUAACCUGGGGAAACCCAGGCUAAUACCGCAUACGUCCUACGGGAGAAAGCAGGGGAUCUUCGGACCUUGCGCUAUCGGAUGAGUCUAUGUCGGAUUAGCUUGUUGGUGAGGUAAUGGCUCACCAAGGCGACGAUCCGUAGCUGGUCUGAGAGGAUGAUCAGCCACAUCGGGACUGAGACACGGCCCGA